GCAUUGAUCAUUCUCGGUUGGUUACAGUGGUUUGGUUGCAUCAAAAAGGUACAACUAUUCUAUUAGCAUUUGAUAUCUUGGGGUAAAGAUGGGGUUGGGCCUAAUAACUGUUAAGUGAGGAUUUCAAUGAUGGCUUUACACUCACUGGUGAAUGAUAGAUCUGACUUAACUAAGAAAUAUGUCAAUAACUAUUAGGUAAGGCCAUGGGACUUAGAGACCAAACCCCUUGCUUAGUGAAGC
rnacentral:lncRNA from 1 species